rnacentral:ncRNA from 2 species
UAUAAUAUAUGUGCGAAUAUGUGUAGCAAAACAGAACUUCCGGGAAUACGGUGAGAAUCCGUAGCAGUCUGCGCUACUGUAUGGGGGACGAUGAUACAAGAUGUCACUGUUUGGGAGCUUGCUGUGAGGCAAGAUGCUUAGAUGGGAAGACGUAUCUCAGGAUGAACCUAAGUCAGGAUACCGGAUGUUUUGCAUUUAGAUAU